UCACGCUGUAAACGAUGUCGAUUUGGAGUUUGGGGGCAUGACCCUUGGGCUCCGGAGCUAACGCGUUAAAUCGACCGCUGGGGAGUACGGCCGCAAGGUUAAAACUCAAAUGAAUUGACGGGGGCCCGCACAAGCGGUGGAGCAUGUGGUUUAAUUCGAUGCAACGCGAAGAACCUUACCUGGUCUUGACAUCCAUAGAAUCUUUCAGAGAUGAGAGAGUGCCUUCGGGAGCUAUGAGACAGGUGCUGCAUGGCUGUCGUCAGCUCGUGUUGUGAAAUGUUGGGUUAAGUCCCGCAACGAGCGCAACCCUUAUCCUUUGUUGCCAGCACGUAAUGGUGGGAACUCAAAGGAGACUGCCGGUGAUAAACCGGAGGAAGGUGGGGAUGACGUCAAGUCAUCAUGGCCCUUACGAGUAGGGCUACACACGUGCUACAAUGGCGCAUACAAAGAGAAGCGACCUCGCGGGAGCAAGCGGACCUCAUAAAGUGCGUCGUAGUCCGGAUUGGAGUCUGCAACUCGACUCCAUGAAGUCGGAAUCGCUAGUAAUCGUAAAUCAGAAUGUUACGGUGAAUACGUUCCCGGGCCUUGUACACACCGCCCGUCACACCAUGGGAGUGGGUUGCAAAAGAAGUAGAUAGCUUAACCUUCGGGAGGGCGUUUACCACUUUGUGAUUCAUGACUGGGGUGAAGUCGUAACAAGGUAACCA
rnacentral:rRNA from 1 species